GCAGCCGCCACGGGAAUACGGAGGGUGCAAGCGUUAUCCGGAUUUAUUGGGUUUAAAGGGUCCGUAGGCGGAUCUGUAAGUCAGUGGUGAAAUCUCACAGCUUAACUGUGAAACUGCCAUUGAUACUGCAGGUCUUGAGUAAAUUUGAAGUGGCUGGAAUAAGUAGUGUAGCGGUGAAAUGCAUAGAUAUUACUUAGAACACCAAUUGCGAAGGCAGGUCACUAAGAUUUAACUGACGCUGAUGGACGAAAGCGUGGGGAGCGAACAGGAUUAGAUACCCCGGUAGUCCCUGUCUCUUAUAA
rnacentral:rRNA from 1 species